rnacentral:rRNA from 1 species
AGUGAACGCUGGCGGUAGGCCUAACACAUGCAAGUCGAACGGCAGCACAGUAAGAGCUUGCUCUUACGGGUGGCGAGUGGCGGACGGGUGAGGAAUACAUCGGAAUCUACUUUUUCGUGGGGGAUAACGUAGGGAAACUUACGCUAAUACCGCAUACGACCUACGGGUGAAAGCAGGGGAUCUUCGGACCUUGCGCGAUUGAAUGAGCCGAUGUCGGAUUAGCUAGUUGGCGGGGUAAAGGCCCACCAAGGCGACGAUCCGUAGCUGGUCUGAGAGGAUGAUCAGCCACACUGGAAGUGAGACACGGUCCAGACUCCUACGGGAGGCAGCAGGGGGGAAUAUUGGACAAUGGGCGCAAGCCUGAUCCAGCCAUACCGCGUGGGUGAAGAAGGCCUUCGGGUUGUAAAGCCCUUUUGUUGGGAAAGAAAAGCAGCAGGUUAAUACCCCGCUGUUCUGACGGUACCCAAAGGAUAAGCACCGGCUAACUUCGUG